CUGGGACCCAGGUUGGGCGCUUCGGCGCCCGCCCCCACCCUUUGCUUAGCCUUGAAUUAUACAAACCCGUCGGCCUGAGGCGCGCCCGCUUGACAGCGAGGUACGCCGGCCGGACAUCAAACCCUGAACAACAUUGCAGCCUGAAGUGAAAAAGCAAAUAGUUA
rnacentral:misc_RNA from 1 species